UACGAAGGGGGCUAGCGUUGUUCGGAAUUACUGGGCGUAAAGCGCACGUAGGCGGAUAUUUAAGUCAGGGGUGAAAUCCCAGAGCUCAACUCUGGAACUGCCUUUGAUACUGGGUAUCUGGAGUAUGGAAGAGGUGAGUGGAAUUCCGAGUGUAGAGGUGAAAUUCGUAGAUAUUCGGAAGAACACCAGUGGCGAAGGCGACUUACUGGACGAUUGUUGACGCUGAGGUGCGAAAGCGUGGGGAGCAAACAGG
rnacentral:rRNA from 1 species